rnacentral:rRNA from 1 species
GCUUACGGCCAUACCACCCUGAAGGCGCCCGAUCUCGUCUGAUCUCGGAAGCUAAGCAGGGUCAGGCCUGGUUAGUACUUGGAUGGGAGACCGCCUGGGAAUACCAUGUGCUGUAUGCU